GACGAACGCUGGCGGCGUGCCUAAUACAUGCAAGUAGGACGCAGUUGCGAACGGGUGAGUACCGAGUAGGUAACUACCUAUUCGAGGGGGAUAACUCUUGGAAACGAUAGACAAUACCGCAUACUAGUAGAUGGACCUGCGUUGUAUUAGCUAGUAGGUAGGGUAAUGGCCUACCUAGGAAACGAUACCUAGCCGGCCUGAGAGGGUUCACGGCAACACUGGGACUGAGAAACGGGACAGACUCCGACAGGAGGCAGCAGUAGGGAAGCUUCGGCAAGAGUGUGAACCCUGACCGAGCAACGCGGCGUGAGUGAAGAAGGUUUUCGGAUCGUAAAGCUCUGUUGUUAAGGAAGCGGUACUUAACCAGAAAGGGACGGCUAACUACGUGCCAGCAGCCGCGGUAAUUC
rnacentral:rRNA from 1 species